rnacentral:misc_RNA from 1 species
CAGAGAUCAUGCCCCUCGUUGGGUAGAUCUCCCACCCUGUGUUAUUAUACCUUUGUUGCUUUGGCGGGCCGCCCUCGGCUACCGGCCCCGGCUGGUACGCGCCCGCCAGAGGACCCCAAACUCUGAAUGUUAGUGUCGUCUGAGUACUAUACAAUAGUUA